rnacentral:rRNA from 1 species
UACGAAGGGGGCUAGCGUUGCUCGGAAUCACUGGGCGUAAAGCGCACGUAGGCGGAUUGCUAAGUCAGGGGUGAAAUCCUGGAGCUCAACUCCAGAACUGCCUUUGAUACUGGCGAUCUUGAGUCCGGGAGAGGUGAGUGGAACUGCGAGUGUAGAGGUGAAAUUCGUAGAUAUUGGGAAGAACACCAGUGGCGAAGGCGGGCUAACUGGUCCGAUACUGACGCUGAGGUGCGAAAGCGUGGGGAGCAAACAGG